UACGUAGGGUGCAAGCGUUGUCCGGAAUUAUUGGGCGUAAAGAGCUCGUAGGCGGUCUGUCGCGUCGGAUGUGAAAUACUCAGGGCUCAACCCUGGACCUGCAUUCGAUACGGGCAGACUAGAGUUCGGUAGGGAGACGUGGAAUUCCUGGUGUAGCGGUGAAAUGCGCAGAUAUCAGGAGGAACACCGGUGGCGAAGGCGGGUCUCUGGGCCGAAACUGACGCUGAGGAGCGAAAGCGUGGGGAGCAAACAGG
rnacentral:rRNA from 1 species